AUACGGAGGAUCCGAGCGUUAUCCGGAUUUAUUGGGUUUAAAGGGAGCGUAGGCGGACGCUUAAGUCAGUUGUGAAAGUUUGCGGCUCAACCGUAAAAUUGCAGUUGAUACUGGGUGUCUUGAGUACAGUAGAGGCAGGCGGAAUUCGUGGGGGAGCGGGGAAAUGCUUAGAUAUCACGAAGAACUCCGAUUGCGAAGGCAUCCUGCUGGACUGUAACUGACGCUGAUGCUCGAAAGUGCGGGGAUCGAACAGGAUUAGAUACCAUGGUAGUCCGCACAGUAAACGAUGAAUACUUGUUUUCGGCGAUAUAAUGUCGGAGGCAAAGCGAAAGCGAUAAGUAUUCCACCUGGGGAGUACGCCGGCAACGGUGAAACUCAAAUGAAUUGACGGGG
rnacentral:rRNA from 1 species